rnacentral:rRNA from 2 species
UGGGGAAUAUUGGGCAAUGGGCGCAAGCCUGACCCAGCAACGCCGCGUGAGGGAAGAAGGCUUUCGGGUUGUAAACCUCUGUCCUUGGUGACGAAAAAAAUGACGGUAGCCAAGGAGGAAGCCCCGGCUAACUACGUGCCAGCAGCCGCGGUAAUACGUAGGGGGCGAGCGUUGUCCGGAAUUACUGGGCGUAAAGGGUGCGUAGGUGGCCUUUUAAGUUGGAUGUGAAAUACCCGGGCUUAACUUGGGGGGUGCAUCCAAAACUGGGAGGCUAGAGUGCAGGAGAGGAAAGCGGAAUUCCUAGUGUAGCGGUGAAAUGCGUAGAUAUUAGGAGGAACACCAGUGGCGAAGGCGGCUUUCUGGACUGUAACUGACACUGAGGCACGAAAGCGUGGGGAGCAAACAGG